ACUGGAGUUGUGUGCAUGCUCACUUAAGGCGUUCUUCCCUUACCAGCUGAAUGUUUCCAGACGAAGGGCAUAUACUAGUUAAACUCCGCCAUUUUGCCUCUCAGUGUUCAAGCCUGAGCCCACGCAUCCAACUCCUGAGAUCUUACUGGGAAGCUGCUGAUCAUCAGUUUCAGGAAGUCAGCGUGGAUCAGCCUUAUGUUCAUGGCCUCCAGGCCCUAUUCUCCUGCCUCACAGGGACCAGCCAGGAUCUCUAUCCUUACAGCACGUUGGAAUGUAUAUGCUCCUCUCCCCACAUCGCCUUAGGGAGCAGGCAGGUGUCAGGGGCAGCACAAGGACGGCCAACAGGACAGGUGCAUAAGUAAGAAUGAUACAAUUUGAGGGCUCAGCUCUGAGAAUACUCUAAACAGGAUCCAAAUAACAUUGUUGCCUCCUAACCAGCAGGUGGGAGCUCAAGAGAAAGACUAGACUUGUUCCACAUUAAAUAAGUAAUGGUAUUUUUUUCCUUGAACAUCUUGAUCAUAAUAUCAAUUAAAUGUGUGGCCGUGAUUCAAUAGCUACCAUUUAUUGAGCAUCUAUUUUGUGCCAGACUUGCUGCUGGUAUUUGAUAGUGCAGUGCCUGACAAGUAGACACACUGGCUUAAAUGUCAUUGUUACUGGUAUUAUUGUUACAAUGAUGUUUUAAUCCUCCCAAUGUAAUUGAGCCUUUAUUAUAAAGAUCAUAAGAUGUUCACUUUACUUAUUUCCUUGUCCUUUUCUUCCUCCGUGCAUGCUUGCUUGCACAAGGGAAGUCACUAGUAAUUGAUUAACUUCCUACCCUAACCCCCAGGGCUGCCUGCAAGAUUGAUGAACUGUUUUUCUUUCAAAGAACAAUGAUCCUUAGGUCAUGCAGACCUCCUUGAUAGCAUCUAGGAGUUUGUUUGGGCGGAGGAACUCAAACAGUUUUGAUUAUUGGGGGAACCCAUCUCCUGCAUACCUACUUUGCUCAUAAAAGCCCCCAGUUAUGUUAAAAGGCAGAUUGGAUUUGAGAGGCUGCUUCUCCUGCCUUCUUGCUUUAGCCAAGUCAAAUAAACCUUUCUCUGCUUCUAAGUGCUGAUGUGUCAGUGUUAGGUUUGCUGUAUAUCAGGCACAUGAACCCAAAAUUUGGGGUUUGAUAACACUAACAGCUCUGCACAGUAAAUAUUGUCAUCCAGUCUUACUAAUGGGGAAAACAUGUUCACAGGACUUGCCCAAGGUCACACAUUUUAAUCAGUGGCAAAGUCAGAGUUAAAAAUAUUUAUGUACUUUUUUUUGUUUUUAUAAUUCAGGGAUGCAUCACUAUUUUAUGUACCAUGAAGAAAGAAAAACAGCUAACUAUUAAACUAUAAUACAGUAUUUCCUUCGCAUUUAGAAUUUUUGUUGUAAACUCAUUAUAAAGAGCUCUUUUAAAC